GGGUUAAAAUGCAUAUUUUGAUCAUUUUACAUGUGCAUGCAUUGAGAAUUUUAGCAAACAAAUGAUCUAUGAUGCAUUUUGAGUGAUUGGGGUACAAAUGGUAAUUUUUCAAAAUUGGCUUUCUGCAAAAAUUUCGCAGAAGAAAACGCACUUGGGCUGAAAACGCGCCUUAGAAUCGCGUUUUCCAUAAUCGCGUUUUAAAUUCUGCGCCUAUACUGAAGAAAACGCGACUUCAAAACGCGACAGGAAGUCGCGUUUUCUACCAAGUCGCGUUUUCCAGCCUGUUCAGAAACCAAAAACGCGACUUCAAAUACGCGACUCAAAGUCGCGUUUUUAAGCAUAGUCGCGUUUUCGAUCCUGCAAGAUAUGUGAAGAAACGCGACUUCAUAAAACGCGGCUUGGUGGCGCGUUUUGAUGAGUCGCGUUUUCGGAGAAAAAAAAAAUGCAGAUUCCUUGAUUCUCUUUUUUCUUCUUUUCCUCAUAUAUUUUCUUGUACCUUGAGUUGCUUAUUGUAUAUUGUAUAUAGGUACAUCACCAAAACAAAGGUUUGAAAUUACGGAUCGCCGUUUUGUUUUAUUAAGCCUUUGUUAUCACUUUUGUUUCUUAUUUUUCAUUUUUAGGAUUACAUCACUAAUGGUUAUCCAAUGAAACUCAUGAAGCGUUGGAGAUACACGGACAAUGGAUUUUGAAGCUUCAUAUUCAAUCACAUCAUAGGGGAGUAUUACUUUCUUUAUCUUGAUUUUCCUUUUUACACAUUGAGGACAAUGUGUAUGUUAAGUGUGGGGGGAGAAUUGAGAUUAUAUACAUUGUAUGUGAUUGAAUUAUUAGUUGCAAAUAUUGGACUUGUGUUAAAAUUCAAAAUUUUUCUAAAAUCUUGUCCAAAAUUGCAAACUUGCCCCAAAAAGUUUCAUAUUUUUUCAAUUUUAUCCAAGGGGUAACAAGUUUCAUACCAUUAGUAGUUCAAAUUCCUUCUACAUUUGAGAUAAAUAUAUGUGAUUUGGAAACUUCUUUUCUCAUUUAACUUGGAAAUGACUAUUAUGUGAUUAUAAUUUUUGCAUUUGUAGGAAAGU
rnacentral:lncRNA from 1 species